GACGAACGCUGGCGGCGUGCCUAAUACAUGCAAGUCGAACGCUUCUUUCCUCCCGAGUGCUUGCACUCCAUUGGAAAGAGGAGUGGCGGACGGGUGAGUAACACGUGGGUAACCUACCCUUCAGAGGGGGAUAACACUUGGAAACAGGCGCUAAUACCGCAUAACAGUUUAUGCCGCAUGGCAUAAGAGUGAAAGGCGCUUUCGGGUGUCGUUGAUGGAUGGACCCGCGGUGCAUUAGCUAGUUGGUGAGGUAACGGCUCACCAAGGCCACGAUGCAUAGCCGACCUGAGAGGGUGAUCGGCCACACUGGGACUGAGACACGGCCCAGACUCCUACGGGAGGCAGCAGUAGGGAAUCUUCGGCAAUGGACGAAAGUCUGACCGAGCAACGCCGCGUGAGUGAAGAAGGUUUUCGGAUCGUAAAACUCUGUUGUUAGAGAAGAACAAGGACGUUAGUAACUGAACGUCCCCUGACGGUAUCUAACCAGAAAGCCACGGCUAACUACGUG
rnacentral:rRNA from 1 species